GAUGAAGAACGCAGCGAAAUGCGAUAAGUAGUGUGAAUUGCAGAAUUCAGUGAAUCAUCGAAUCUUUGAACGCACAUUGCGCCCCUUGGUAUUCCAUGGGGCAUGCCUGUUCGAGCGUCAUCUACACCCUCAAGCUCUGCUUGGUGUUGGGCGUCUGUCCCGCCUUUGCGCGUGGACUCGCCCCAAAUUCAUUGGCAGCGGUCCUUGCCUCCUCUCGCGCAGCACAUUUGUGCUUCUCGAGGUGCGCGGGCCGCGUCCACGAAGCAACUAUUACCGUCUUUGACCUCGGAUCAGGUAGGGAUACCCGCUGAACUUAAGCAUAUCAAUAAGCGGAGGA
rnacentral:misc_RNA from 1 species